CAGAUACCUUUGUGGGAGAACAUUAUAAAAAUAUUCUCCAGUUCCAGUACCUAGUUAGAAAAACUAUGAGAACAGAGAGAUAUUGCAACAUAAUAGCCAGUACUGUCUAAUUUGAGUAUAAUGAAGCCUGUUUCUUUGUGAUGUUUUCUGUCCUCAGAUACAGAGAGCUGUCAAAUUAAGAGGUUCCUGUGAAUGUCCCAAGGAUUUCAGCCAUGUGAACCUAUUUAGCAGCUGAUGAUAAUGGAACGCACUGCCAACUCCGAUCCUCAAGCACCGCAACAAGACUAUGAUAUAUUCUAAUAUUUGAUGCAGAAAGUGUAUAUUUGUACAUUCAGCUCAUUGUGGAAAUAUUGCAAGUAUUUACCCAGCACUCCCAAGUCCUUCUUCUUCUUGGGCCCAGUGUGGACCCGUUGACUGAUCCCCACAUCUGGGUUAACAUGUACACUUUGCCACUGCUUAGGCUGAGCAUCGCAGGACAAAGGGAAGUGUGAGACAGCUGCUGGUCUAUCAGAUAACAUCCACAAGAAAAAUAAUUGAUACAUCUUGUCCAUGUCUGUAUUAAAGGCAGUGAGUUAUUAAAUUAACUUCAUGUUGAAAAUGCCCUUCAAUUGAACACAUUGUGUAACAACAUAAGCAUGGGAUCUGGGGGGCGCCUCCCCAGAUAGCAUAUGAGCACGUCAUGGCAAAAGCUGUACAACUGUAACAUUUGAUCUCAUUAUCAUUGCAAAAUGUGUAGAAUAGCAUGAGAUAAGCUAUAAAACUACAACUUUUCCUCUGCCCUAUGACAAUGUAUGCAGAAUUGCAUGAAAUUACCUUGAAAAUUAAAAAUUCUCUCAGCCUCAUUGUAAAAUGUGUAGAAUAGCAUGAUAAUGGCUAUGAAACUGCACUGUGAAAUGUCGGUAUGCCACUGAUAAUGCUGUCCCACUGAGGGGAAUUAUUAGCUUUAUUUCUAAAAACAUGCACGUGUGUUGUGUAUAAGUCAAGGCCGUGACUUUGUUUUGUGAGAUUAGAAAUUGUGGUGGUACGUGAAAAGCUUUCCCACCAAAACACACGAGACCAAGUUGAUGACCAACUGAUUGACCUCAAAUAAUAGGGUUGAAAACAAUCAAGUUAUCAUUAGAGAGCGCUCUUCACACCAGGCCACAGAGUGUAGAUAAUCAAAAAUACAUUGGCAGAGGUCGCUGGCAGAAGUUUGUCUUUGUAUAGUCCUCUUGGCAAUAACAAAGCACCAUAGGCUCUCUGAGUCUUCUGGGUUGGGGUAAUAAUUGUGAUCCCAAGGUCCUCCUAAGAAAAAAGCAAAGUAGCCCCAAAAAGCAAGGCACACAAAAUGUGGACAUUAAGCAGUGUAGAGAGAAGCAGGCAUCAUCUCUGCAGAUCACACAUUCCCUUUACAUUCCAUCUAUUCAAAGAUUGUAAUUGUUUACAGUUGAAACUGCAAAUGGCUUGAUAUCAUGUAUUUGUGGGAAUCGUACUAAAUAAAAACCUGUUGGACUACUGACCUAUAAUAAUAAAUAAAAAAA
ensembl:lncRNA